UGUCUACCUAAGGCUGUGCCGGUCGAACACCUGGUGGUCAGAGUGCAGGCUGUCUACCUAAGGCAUAUCAGGGAUCUGUGACUGGAAUGAUAUUGAAUGGUCAGGCCAAUGUCUGUCUGUGGCGGGAUUGUUCCUGACUGGUACAUUAUGCAUGUACAUAAUUAAGUGAAUCCUGAUACCACAAGUUACUGCAUAUCAAAUCUACGCACUCACAACUUAACAAAGCACAACAAAUGUGUUCAGAAUGUCUUUACAUUGAAUAAAUUGUUACAACAUCAGCUAGUUAUAUCAGCUCAUGUAGGUUCUCAUUUCCCCUUUCCCAGGCUGUGUGUGGUCCAUGAUGUAGUCAUGCUGUCUCAGAAUAAUGUGUCUGCCACCUCAACAUCUGUUUACAGUUAAUGGAUGCCGUCAAACACAACACUUCAAAGUGGGGCACUUAAAACACAGCUUGUUUUUUCACUCAACCUGCAUAUGGAAUACAGUGAAUCCCUCUUGUACCUUAUACAGGUGCAUGUUGCCAACAGUGUUGCCUUGUAAGUCUACAGUCUGUUAGUGUAGGAUAGUCAGCAAUCAGGUCAUGCUUGGAGUGUUCUACUUUGUUAAAUAACUGCACUCUUACUAGCCAUAGAAAUAAGCUUGCUCUUUAAAACCUUCAAAACAUCCCUAAUCAAAGGCCAGGUUUGAUGCCACGUCCUGAUACAAGUUUUAAAAGGUGUAUAUUUCCACCACUUUAUUGUGUCAAACAAUAAACACUCGCAAACUCACAGCCCGUAAAUCACACUUACACCCAAAAGCCACAAGUGAAACACAACAUUCAGUGAGGUCAGACAGGGAGUAGGAGUAGCUCUCCGGGAGAUGUAACGGUAGCUGUUAAACACCACAUGUAUGAUAAUAUAAGGUCACACAGGGAGUAGAGUCAGAUUUGUGGUAGACACAGUUGAAACACACUAGAGGUAGAGUGAGAUCACACACAAGGUAGUAUAAAUAAAUUUAAUCACCCUU